UUUCCCCACUUUGGUUCGCUAGGGUUUGAUAAGGGAAAUCGGGGUAAUAUCGCCGCCACAUCACCUUCUUUUCCCUCCCCCAUUUCCUGCCCCUUCCUCGUGAAAUCGACGACAAUCUCAGCCACGUCGGCUUUUUGCUUUCCUCGUUGAUUUCUUCGGCGAGCUAUACUUACCUCCUUUCUCUCCUCCCGCCAGAAAGUCCCGCGACCUUCGUUGUCCCUGUAUUCGAAGAAAUUCGUGGGAGGGGCUCUGAUCUUUGCCGACAAUAAUCAGAUCUGAUCUUUGCCGACGCUGUUGCUUCAUAAAUCAAGGAUAUUUAUAAGUCACCAUACAAUUUUUUAAGAUGCAAGCAACCUACAAUGUGCACACAUUGUACUGGAUGGCUAUUCCUCUGGGUAUUUUGUGUAGUAAGUUUUCAUGACACGUGUUUACGUUGGUGACUUUUUUACUUUUAGGCUAUGAUUAUUGGCAUAAUAUCUGAGAUUAGCAACCUGCAAUAUCUAUUGAUAUUGUACUGGAUGGCUAACAAUGAUGAUAUUUAUCAUAUAAUGAGCCCUCAGCCCUAUUCAGUUUGGUUUGCAUCAAUUUAGGCUAUGAUGAUUGUCAGAUUUUCUGAGAUUAGCAACCUGCAAUAUCUAUUGAUAUUGUACUGGAUGGCUAACAAUGAUGAUAUUGACUAAAUUCUGAGCCUUCAGCCAUAAUCAGUCAUGCAACUCUGUUUGGCUUUGUGACCAUUACUUGCUGUUGUGGGUUUGCUGGUUUUGUGUUCUGUUUGGGCACUGUUUGGUUUGCUUGUUUUGUGUUCAGUUUGGUGUACUUGCUGUUGUGGGUUUUUUCCUGGUUUUGUGUUCAGUUUAGGCACAUGCUGGUUUGCUUGUUUUGUGUUCAGUUUGGUGUACUAGCUGUUGUGGGUUUUUUCCUGGUUUUGUGUUCAGUUUAGGCACAUGCUGCUUUGCUUGUUUUGUGUUCAGUUUGGUGUACUUGCAUUUGCGGGUUUUUUCCUGGUUUUGUGUUCAGUUUGGGCACAUGCUGGUUUGCUGGUUUUGUGUUCAGUUUGGUUAUUUUGUGUAUGUUGGUUGUGUUCAGGUUGGUUGUGUUCAUGUUCUGGUUGGCUUUGUGACCAUUACUUGCUGUUGUGCGCUACAUCAGGUUUUGUGUAGCCAUUUUGUGGCUGGUUGUGUAGCCGCAUGUUGUUACUUGAUUGUGUUCAGUUUGGUGUACUUGAUGGUGUUGGUUAUUUAUGUGUGUAGCCUGGUUGUGAGCUAGGUAGGUUUGCUGUUUUAGUAGACUGGUUGUGAGUCAUGUUAUGUAAGUGUUGUGAGCAUGUUCAAGUUUUGGUACGUGUUGGCUUUGUCCUCUACGACCGUUGUCUUGCAGGUAAAAAUUUUUUCUAUAUAUUAUAUUUUACUUCAAUCAUGUGGAAUUAGACUUUUUAGUUUCACAUUUAUUUCUUUUACUUAAAUCAUAUGGUGUUUUUGAACUGGUACCUAAACUUUGGGCAAGACUGCGCAUUGUUAGAGGAGGUAUGUGGGUGGAUAAACGAGAAAGCCAUUGUACAUGUUUGGACUAAGAUGACUCCAAAUAUAACAGAUAUUACUCAGGUUAGUCCCUUGUAUCUUGUGCACUUCAUAUGAGCAUCUCAUGUAUCAUUUAAUUUGGUUGAUAGAAAAAGACAUGGUGAUGUUGAAUUUUUUACUUGUUUAAUAUUUUGACCUUAAUCUGUUAAAUUGAAAUUCUCAAGCAUUGACAAAAAUUCUGUUAAAUAGGGAAAAAGACUAGGUUUUGAUUCUACUUCCAUACAUAAUCAUGCAGUACGGUGGCACAUGAUUCUCAGAACAUCAAUUGCCCAGAAUACCUUGUCACUUGAUUUAUUUCUUUCUAGCAUAGUCAUCCAGAAAGGUUGUAUAUAACAAGUUCCAGUCAAAUGAUGUUUAAUUUUGUGGUUCUCUCUUGCAUCUUUUUUAGCAUAUUUUUCUCCACCAUUUAUCUUUAAGAUGGUUUCGUAAAUGUUUAUAUAUAAUCAGAUUUCAUAUAUGUGAAACGAAAAACUAUAGUUACACAUUGUUCCGAGGAGCCACCAAAUGAGAACCUCUUGCUUUCAUAAUACAGGAAUACUCUAAUAGAGGUAAAUGAUGAAAAAUGAUACACAGUCCAUUUCAAAAGUUUGAGAUAUCUUCGUUCCUUUUGCAUCUAGUUCUUUCGAUAUAAAACAUUCUUAAAAGAGAAGUUAAUGAAAAUUUUAAAAUGACAAUUUAACCUAUUUGAAUAUCUUUUUCCAUAAAUUGCAUAAAAAUCUCCUAAUCAUGCAGCACAAGUCAAAUUGUCAGUAAAAUGCUUGUUAGCUGUUCGUAGUUACGUUCUUUCCCCCUUGUUUAUCAUUGAAGGAGAUUUGAAACUGCAGAAACAUGGUAUUUUGAAACUAUUUAGUGUAUUUAAGCAGAAGUGAAAACUACUGAAGUGCUUUAUUCUGUACUUCCGUUCCCCUUUCACUCUGAAGCCUGUUGGUUUUGUUGAUGCCUGUUGGUUUUUUUCUGCUGGGUUGUUGUUGCCUACUAGUCUGUUGGUGUUUUUGGCUGCAUUCUUGAUUUUGUUGGCUGAUUGAUACAUCAUUUUAUUUGUUUUCAUAAGUUCUAGUAUCCAAACUCAGUUCAUACCCAAUUUUCUAACUCAGUUCAUACCCAAUUUUCAUGAACUGAGGUUAUUGUUGGCUGGUGUUGAUGCCCGGUGUUGAUGCCUGGUGGUGGUAUUGGAAUGCCUGUUGGUGUUAUUAGUGGUGUUGAUGCAUGUUAGUUUUUUCUGCUGGGUUGUUGUUGCCUGUUGGUGUUUUUGGCUGCAUUCUUGAUGUUGUGAAACUGCUUGUUUUUUGAUGGAUUUAUUGCCUGGUUCCUUUUCAUGGCUGCUUGGUGUAGCCUGGUUCUUUUCUCGUUGGCUGGUUGGUGCAUCAUUUUAAUUGUUGGGUAAAUGAUGUUUUUGUACUUGUUUUGGGGAUUUCUGGUUGUGAGCCUGGUUGUGCUUGUUUCGGCUGAAACGAACCAAACAGCCCCUUAGGCUAUUAUGAUUGUCAAAAUUUCUGAGAUUGCCACCUGCAAUAUCGUUUGAUAUUUGCACUGGAGGCUAACAAUGAUGAUAUUGACCCAGUUCUGAGCCCUCAUCCUUAAUUAAUAACCAAAUGCUGAUUACUUGAUAUUGUUGGUUGGUACUUGUUGUUGUUGGUGUGCGCAUGUUGGUUAAAUUGGUUGGACAGUGGGUAUUUUGUGCUCGACUUUUUGUGUGCACAUGUUGGUUCUAUAUGCUGUUAUUUGGGUAUUUUGUGCUCCGUUUUUGUGUGCAUAUGUUGGUUCUAUAUGUUGGUUGGCAAGCUCUCUACGGCAACGAUGCAGCAAAGACGAAAAAAAUCCCCCUACAAGGACUUGCAAUUGUUGGCCAAAGUGGUGUUGUUGUUGCUGCUGUUCUAGAAGCAAGAAAAAAGUAUACAAAGAAUAAGAAGGGAAGAUAUGGACCUCUUAUGCUUUCUUCUCCUUUUAGUUUAUUAUUUUUUUCAUUUUGCAUUUACAUAUAGCCUGUUGGUGGUGUUGAUGCCUCUUAUAUCUUUUUCCAUUGCAGGCCGUGUUUCUUAUAGAUUACUUGAUUGCAAAUGGAUCUGAACGUACACUUGAUGAUAUCCUUGAGUGUAGUUUUCGGAUUUCAGUAAGCAUCUCUGCCUAUUCAGAGGUUUGGUUUGCUGCUUGUGAGCUUGGUUGUGGAGCUUGGUUGUGAGCCUGUUCAGAUUGUUGUAACUUCAACAAAAUAGCCAAGUAAACUGGCAUGAUACAAAAAACUUGUAUAAAUAUGAUGGCAUUUUUUAUGUGGA